UACGUAGGGGGCAAGCGUUGUCCGGAAUUAUUGGGCGUAAAGGGCCCGUAGGCGGUCUGUUGCGUCAGGAGUGAAAACUCGGGGCUUAACCCCGAGCCUGCUUCUGAUACGGGCAGACUAGAGGUAUGCAGGGGAGAACGGAAUUCCUGGUGUAGCGGUGAAAUGCGCAGAUAUCAGGAGGAACACCGGUGGCGAAGGCGGUUCUCUGGGCAUUACCUGACGCUGAGGAGCGAAAGUGUGGGGAGCGAACAGG
rnacentral:rRNA from 1 species